UAUUAUUAUUAUUAUUAUUAUUAUUAUUAUUAUUAUUAUUAUUAUUAUUGUUAUUACCAGUCCAAUCAUCUAAUAACUACAUGUGUUCAAUAAUAGAAUAAAUUGGAUGAUGAAGUCCAACAUGAGAUCCACACAGUGCUAGAAGGCACCAUGAACGAAUACAGUGAAUAUUCCAUAGAUUAAACCCGUUUACUCUCAUUUUGUUAAGUAACAGAUCUCCAUCUCCACCAACUCUGAAGGAUUUAUAACAGAAGCUUGGAACGUCAAAUAUACACUUCGGCCAAAGGUUUGUAGAACCCUGACCAUCACCUCCAUAUGGAACAUCACACCAGAUUUAUUCUCCUCUCUGUGCUUUUAUAAUCAGCUCCACUCUUCUCUUCUGAGAAGGUUUUCCACUAGACGUUGGAUCUGUUGUGUCUGUGUGGAUCAGUGUUCAUUCAGCUACAGGAGCAUCAGUGAGAUCAGACUCUGAUGUUGGGAUGUUGAGGAGACUCCAGUUCCAGUUCAUCCCAGUGGUGCCCAAAUGUUUUUCUGACUCCUGUAGAAAAGGUUCAUGGACCAUGGCAUAUAAACAUGCAUACAAGCAUACUACAACCUUUUCAACACACACACACACACACACACACACACACACACACACACACACACACACACACACAAUAAAAGUAAGUCAUUCCCCACAUGGAACAGAUUUUCCUAAAUUGCUUUUAAUUGGAUCCAUCCUUUACUCCAUGUUUGUUAUUGAUGGCAUCAAGCGUUAGUGUCCCGUGUGAAACACAACCCCAGAACCCAUGAUGCUACCACCAGCAUGCUUGAUCUCAGGUAUAGUGUUACCUGGGAGUUGGGCUGGAUUUGGCUUGUUCCAGCUUUGGCUCAACUUUAGUCUUAUCAGACCACAACAUCUUUUUCAGAUGCUCUCAGGUUGCCUUUCAUUAUGGAGAUCUAAACAGAUUCUCUUCCUCAGCUUGUUGUAGCUGGACUCUCAGACACUUCUCUAUCAGUCUCCCUUCUUACCCCAGCAAUGAAACAAAAAAACUUGUUUAUUUAAAGAAAACAAGCCUGUUCAGAUGUGGCUGUGUUUAAAUCCAUGGGUAUUAAACUCAUUGUGGGUCACCGAUCACAUUACGCUUAUAUCAGCUGUCGAGGGCCACGACAGUCGGUUUAACAGAACAGAUCAGACUCUGAGCCAAUGAAAGGUAACAGAACAUUGUACUGUUUGUGAGAGAAAGUCUCUAACGCUGUAGGGAGGCUGUAAUGUACAUAAAUAAAUGCAGGUGUAGCAAAUAUUUCACACCUCCGUUGCUGCAGAGGGCACUAUACAUAUAUAACGGACGUCAACACGUGACUUCCUGUUUACAGAAUAGAAAAUGCUUGUGUGAAGUGUUAGUGACGUAUCCUGUUUGUGUAAGGGAAACAGUUACAGCUGUUGAGACUGAGGGAGACGCAGCAGACCGGCGGGUAGAGAUGCUAACAGAUUUCCCUCUACGUUUAAAUAACGCAGUGACCUACACACACACACACACACACACACACACAGACACACACACAAUGAGAGUGUUCACUUCAACAGAUAUAAAUAACAUUAUCACUUAACUGCAAUCUGUUAUUAUCAGUAUUAUUAAUGAACUGUAUUUCUCUCAUUAGCUACAGCGACGCUGAAUGGACACUCACUGGCCAUUUUAUUAGAAACACCUUCCACAAUGGCCACUUUGUAGGUAAACAAACAGCACAGUGUGUGUGUGUGUGUGUGUGUGUGUGUGUGUGUGUGUGUGUGUGUGUGUGUGUGUGUGUGUGCACGUAUGAGUGUGUGUUUGUGCAUGUGUGUGUACCCGUGUUGUACCUGUGCUGCAGUCAGUAAUUGACGUGUGUUGAAAUACAUAGAUUAGGUUCUAACUGAACACCAAAAAUAAACUAGAUUAGUGUUGGUUGUGUAACAAAAGGUUUGUUGUGUCGAGACUGAGAGUGUCUCUUUUUAACCUGAGGCUCAUGAUCUUGUUGCUCAAGUGACCAAUGAGGUUGUGUGAGACAUCCAGGUGCUGCAGAGAGGAAAGAUUGUAUAACCUACUGUACAACACACAGAGGCAUGAAAUAAACAGGUUUGGGUAGGUGUGAUAUCAGUAACACAACACCAGUGUCUGUUUUAGUUGUUUCCGCUUGGGGAAGUGCAGUUACCACCUAACAUGAUCUGCUCAUAAUUUACCUUACCACGCAUUCUCACAUCCUAAUGUCACUCUGACGGAAGGUAACACUUUUGUAACAUCGAUGAGUUUAACACUUCACUUAUGUGUGUGUGUGUGUGUGUGUGUGUGUGUGUUAUUUACUGAAAAGGCAGAGCAGUGAGCUUGCAGAACGAGACCACCAGGGUCUUUAGGUUGAUCAGCUUCUCGAUCUCAGCUGGGAUUUCAACAAUUGGGUUUCCUCUUAACUUCAGUACCUCCAGUUUAUUGAGCUCACACAGCUGAUACGGCCGCACGGAGCGGAGAGCAUUGUAUUAAAAUAAAAAAUAAAAAAUUUUAAAAAAAUUACCAAAAAAAAACCCACGGAGACCAGAAUUAGAAGACAGACUGCAGAAAUAAAGCUCAUUAAAAAAAGAAA